UUCCAAUGAGGAAUAAAAUACAAGUACCGAUGAUAUGCUACCAGUGUAGUUUAUUCUACGUGUGUAUUAUUCAGAAGGGAAAAAAAUUCUUAUACAAAGAGAAUAUAACUGAUGAAAAUGUUCAACGUCAAUUCCAUAUAAUAUUCAUCGUCCUUUGAGAGAUAUCGUAUAAAAGAGAAAAGUUUAAAGUAAAAUUCGAGAGGCUGUCUUAUAAUCAUUAAGAUUCAUUGUCUUGAUAGCUAAUGACCGCAAAAUUGGCAAGUUUCAUCAGAAAUCUCUGUAAGUUAAUUCUCGUAAAGCUAACUCAAUUCCACUGCAUAGUUAAGAUUUGUAAUUUAUGUUAUAACCCAUUUCCUUCCAUUGUAUAAAUUUAUGAGCUCUCACUUAAUAUCUCGUUUAAUCCUGACGGCUAGCUAAAAACUUC